rnacentral:rRNA from 1 species
GAAGGACGUGAUAAGCUGCGAAAAGCUACGGGGAUUGGCACACACGAAUUGAUCCGUAGAUAUCCGAAUGGGGCAACCCAAUGCAUUGAAGAUGCAUUACCCGAUAGGGGGCAAACCCGCUGAACUGAAACAUCUAAGUAGGCGGAGGAGAAGAAAACAAAAGUGAUUCCGUAAGUAGUGGCGAGCGAACGCGGAUUAGCCCAAACCAGAGUUGUUACGGCAAUUUUGGGGUUGUAGGACCACGACAUUCUAUGCGGAUUGAACCGGAAUAACCUGGAAAGGUUAACCAGAGAGGGUGAUAGUCCUGUAUGGGUAAGAGAAGAUAUAGAUAGUGGUAUCCUGAGUAGCGCGGGGCACGUGAAACCCUGUGUGAAUUUGGCGGGACCAUCCGCUAAGGCUAAAUACUCCUGAGAGACCGAUAGUGAACCAGUACCGUGAGGGAAAGGUGAAAAGAACCGUGAAUAACGGAGUGAAAUAGAUCCUGAAACCAUACGCUUACAAGCGGUCGGAGCCCUUUCGUGGGGUGACGGCGUGCCUUUUGCAUAAUGAGCCUACGAGUUACCGUUGCUGGCAAGGAUAAGUGCUUAAGGCAUGGAUCCGUAGCGAAAGCGAGUCUGAAUAGGGCGCUUUAGUCAGUAAUGUUAGACGCGAAACCGUGUGAUCUACCCAUGGGCAGGAUGAAGCUGUGGUAACACAUAGUGGAGGUCCGAACCGGUUGACGUUGAAAAGUCUUCGGAUGACCUGUGGGUAGGGGUGAAAGGCCAAUCAAACUGGGAGAUAGCUCGUACUCCCCGAAAUGCAUUUAGGUGCAGCGUUGCGACAAGUUUAUUAGAGGUAGAGCUACUGAUUGGAUGCGGGGGUUUCAUCGCCUACCAAUUCCUGACAAACUCCGAAUGCUAAUAAAUGUUUCGCAGCAGUGAGGGCAUGGGUGCUAAGGUCCAUGUCCGAGAGGGAAAGAACCCAGACCAUCAGCUAAGGUCCCCAAAUGUAUGCUAAGUUGAAAAAACGAGGUUUGUCUGCCCAGACAGCUAGGAUGUUGGCUUGGAAGCAGCCAUUCAUUUAAAGAGUGCGUAACAGCUCACUAGUCGAGCGGUCCGGCAUGGAUAAUAAUCGGGCAUAAACAUAUUACCGAAGCUAUGGAUUUGUAAUUUAUUACAAGUGGUAGGGGAGCAUUCUAACAGGGUUGAAGGUGUAUCGUAAGGUAUGCUGGACUGGUUAGAAAAGAAAAUGUAGGCAUAAGUAACGAUAAUGCGGGCGAGAAACCCGCACACCGAAAAACUAAGGUUUCCGCAGCUAUGCUAAUCAGCUGCGGGUUAGUCGGGUCCUAAGGCGAACCCGAAAGGGACAGUCGAUGGCCAACGGGUUAAUAUUCCCGUACUACUUAUAAUUGUGAUGGAGAGACGCAGUGGUGAAAGUACCGCGAACUGACGGAAUAGUUCGUUAAAGCACUUAGCUAUAGGCCCGGUAGGCAAAUCCGCUGGGACUGGUGAAAUGCGAUAGUACUCAGAGUCUUCGGACAACGAGAUAGUGUACCUAAAGGCUGCCAAGAAAAUCUUCUAAACUUAGAUUAUAAGUACCCGUACCGUAAACCGACACAGGUAGUUGAGGAGAGAAUCCUAAGGUGCUCGAGAGAUUCAUGGCUAAGGAAUUAGGCAAAAUAGACCUGUAACUUCGGGAGAAAGGUCGCCAGCAGCAAUGCUGGCCGCAGUGAAAAGAUCCAGGCGACUGUUUAUCAAAAACACAGGGCUCUGCAAAAUCGUAAGAUGAAGUAUAGGGCCUGACACCUGCCCGGUGCUGGAAGGUUAAGAGGAGAUGUUAUCUUCGGAGAAGCAUUGAAUUGAAGCCCCAGUAAACGGCGGCCGUAACUAUAACGGUCCUAAGGUAGCGAAAUUCCUUGUCGGGUAAGUUCCGACCUGCACGAAUGGUGUAACGAUCUGGACACUGUCUCAGCCAUGAGCUCGGUGAAAUUGUAGUAGCGGUGAAGAUGCCGCUUACCCGCAGUGGGACGAAAAGACCCUGUGCACCUUUACUAUAGCUUAAUAUUGACCUUGGACACGUGAUGUGUAGGAUAGGUGGGAGACUAUGAAGUGGCGUCGCUAGGCGUUGUGGAGUCAUUGUUGAAAUACCACCCUUUGCUUGUCUGAGGCCUAACCCCGCGCUGCGGGGGACAUUGUUUGGUGGGUAGUUUGACUGGGGUGGUCGCCUCCAAAAGAGUAACGGAGGCUU